rnacentral:rRNA from 1 species
GACGAACGCUGGCGGCGUGCCUAAUACAUGCAAGUCGAGCGAGCGGAACCAACAGAUUUACUUCGGUAAUGACGUUGGGAAAGCGAGCGGCGGAUGGGUGAGUAACACGUGGGGAACCUGCCCCUAAGUCUGGGAUACCAUUUGGAAACAGGUGCUAAUACCGGAUAAUAAAGCAGAUCGCAUGAUCAGCUUUUGAAAGGCGGCGUAAGCUGUCGCUAAGGGAUGGCCCCGCGGUGCAUUAGCUAGUUGGUAAGGUAACGGCUUACCAAGGCGACGAUGCAUAGCCGAGUUGAGAGACUGAUCGGCCACAUUGGGACUGAGACACGGCCCAAACUCCUACGGGAGGCAGCAGUAGGGAAUCUUCCACUAUGGACGCAAGUCUGAUGGAGCAACGCCGCGUGAGUGAAGAAGGUUUUCGGAUCGUAAAGCUCUGUUGUUGGUGAAGAAGGAUAGAGGUAGUAACUGGCCUUUAUUUGACGGUAAUCAACCAGAAAGUCACGGCUAACUACGUGCCAGCAGCCGCGGUAAUACGUAGGUGGCAAGCGUUGUCCGGAUUUAUUGGGCGUAAAGCGAGCGCAGGCGGAAAAAUAAGUCUAAUGUGAAAGCCCUCGGCUUAACCGAGGAACUGCAUCGGAAACUGUUUUUCUUGAGUGCAGAAGAGGAGAGUGGAACUCCAUGUGUAGCGGUGGAAUGCGUAGAUAUAUGGGAAGAACACCAGUGGCGAAGGCGGCUUACUGGACAGUAACUGACGUUGAGGCUCGAAAGCGUGGGUAUCAAACAGG